rnacentral:snoRNA from 1 species
UCACAUGAUGAACUUGUUAUUCACACUAUUUGAUCCGUGCACUCUGUGUACGGGCGUGAACACUAAACACAAAAAUCUGAUUUAAUGAGGUUGGUA